AGGGAAUCUUCCACAAUGGGCGAAAGCCUGAUGGAGCAACGCCGCGUGAGUGAAGAAGGUUUUCGGAUCGUAAAACUCUGUUGUAAGGGAAGAACAAGUACAGUAGUAACUGGCUGUACCUUGACGGUACCUUAUUAGAAAGCCACGGCUAACUACGUGCCAGCAGCCGCGGUAAUACGUAGGUGGCAAGCGUUGUCCGGAAUUAUUGGGCGUAAAGCGCGCGCAGGCGGUCCUUUAAGUCUGAUGUGAAAGCCCACGGCUCAACCGUGGAGGGUCAUUGGAAACUGGAGGACUUGAGUGCAGAAGAGGAAAGUGGAAUUCCAAGUGUAGCGGUGAAAUGCGUAGAGAUUUGGAGGAACACCAGUGGCGAAGGCGACUUUCUGGUCUGUAACUGACGCUGAGGCGCGAAAGCGUGGGGAGCAAAC
rnacentral:rRNA from 1 species